GUGGCUGUCUCUCUGACUGUGGCUCUGAGCAGUGUGGCACAGCCCGAGACACCACGCAGAGCAAGGCUGGUUCCUGCCGACAGGGCCUGUCAAGGCAUUGGGCUUCCUGUGCGAUGGUUCCAUACAGC